GAUGAACGCUGGCGGCGUGCCUAAUACAUGCAAGUCGAGCGAACGGACGAGAAACUUGCUUCUCGGAUGUUAACGGCGGACGGGUGAGUAACACGUGGAUAACCUACCUAUAAGACUGGGAUAACUUCGGGAAACCGGAGCUGAUACCGGGUAAUAUUUUGAACCGCAUGGUUCAAAAGUGAAAGACGGUCUUGCUGUCACUUAUAGAUGGAUCCGCGCUGCAUUAGCUAGUUGGUAAGGUAAGGGCUUACCAAGGCAACGAUGCAUAGCCGACCUGAGAGGGUGAUCGGCCACACUGGAUCUGAGACACGGUCCAGACUCCUACGGGAGGCAGCAGUCGGGAAUCUUCCGCAAUGGGCGAAAGCCUGACGGAGCAACGCCGCGUGAGUGAUGAAGGUCUUCGGAUCGUAAAACGCUGUUAUUAGGGAAGAACAUAUGUGUAAGUAACUGUGCACAUCUUGACGGUACCUAAUCAGAAAGCCACGGCUAACUACGUG
rnacentral:rRNA from 1 species